GGCACCAUGGCUUAGUAGGUUAAAGCACCUGUCUCGUAAACAGGCGAUCCUGGGUUCAACUCCCAGUGGUGCCU
rfam:Chelonia mydas contig263887, whole genome shotgun sequence.